GAUUGCCGGCGAGAUGGCGACGGCCAGCGGUGGAAGUUGUCUCGGUUGCCGGUGCGCAGUGGUGGCAUCUAAUGCUUGGAGAGGGGGAAACAUAAAAAGAUCUACCAGCGAAAUGACACGGUUACUACAUGGAUUGGUGGCCCAGUUGGAAAAUAAUCCGUUUGCCGUUGACUCCAGAUAAAGAUAAAAUAAAAAAACUCUUUAGUUGUAUCGAAGUGUUAAUGGAGAAAUGACACGAACUCUUAAAAAAGAGAGAGAGAAA
rnacentral:lncRNA from 1 species